rnacentral:lncRNA from 1 species
GGAGCAGUUAGUUCAUCCUUUGCUUUCCAUGAUCAUCUCUGAGUGUGUGUCUGGUUAGAGGUUAGGAAAUUGUCAGUAACCGCAGAGCCAGGAAGCAACCUUGGCAAGGCGGAAAACCAGAAUGCGAGUGCCUGAAAGCCCUUUCCCUCCUUCUUCCUCUUCCCACCCUCCCCUUGCUAUGUAGCAACAGUGUUGAGGAGACCACCAACUCUUCUUGGGUGGUUUAUGAGUCA